UACGUAGGGUGCGAGCGUUGUCCGGAAUUACUGGGCGUAAAGAGCUCGUAGGUGGUUUGUCGCGUUGUCCGUGAAAACUCACAGCUCAACUGUGGGCGUGCGGGCGAUACGGGCAGACUGGAGUACUGCAGGGGAGACUGGAAUUCCUGGUGUAGCGGUGAAAUGCGCAGAUAUCAGGAGGAACACCGAUGGCGAAGGCAGGUCUCUGGGCAUUAACUGACGCUGAGGAGCGAAAGCAUGGGGAGCGAACAGG
rnacentral:rRNA from 1 species